rnacentral:rRNA from 1 species
GUGGGGAAUAUUGGACAAUGGGCGAAAGCCUGAUCCAGCCAUGCCGCGUGAGUGAUGAAGGCCUUAGGGUUGUAAAGCUCUUUCAGUAGGGAAGAUAAUGACGGUACCUACAGAAGAAGCCCCGGCUAACUUCGUGGCAGCAGCCGCGUUAAUACGAAGGGGGCUAGCGUUGUUCGGAUUUAUUGGGCGUAAAGCGCACGUAGGCGGAUUGGUCAGUUAGAGGUGAAAUCCUGGAGCUCAACUCCAGAACUGCCUUGAAUACUGCCAGUCUAGAGUCCAGAAGAGGUGAGUGGAACUCCUAGUGUAGAGGUGGAAUUCGUAGAUAUUAGGAAGAACACCAGUGGCGAAGGCGGCUCACUGGUCUGGUACUGACGCUGAGGUGCGAAAGCGUGGGGAGCAAACAGGAUUAGAUACCCGAGUAGUCC